GCUUUCAACAUCCCCGUUCCGGAACGAGCGUGAGCCUAUUGCGGAAUAGCCGCAAUUCCAUUCUGCAUCCGGAGCUGAAGGC
rnacentral:sRNA from 1 species